UUUUUUUAUUAUCUUUCUUAAAAAAUUUGUUUUUGCAGGUGCUUUAUCUACUUUCGGCCCUUUUCUUCUGCUCCGUUUCAUACUGCAUGUGGAUAAUCUGUGUUCGUUCCUGGUUGGUUGAUAUCCUACAUUUAGCACAAUUUUCACGCUGAUCCAGGAAGCCGAAUAUAGCCAAAUACAAAUAUGAAUUUGUCUCUUUAUACAUAAUUUGAUCCCAAC